UUCUUCUUCUUCUUCUUCUUCUUCCUUCCUCUCGCCGGUUGCUGCUUCACCCACCACCACACCGCUGCCCCACGCCCUACUCACCACCACCUCUUGGCCACCGAACCCCCACCACCCACUGCUCGUCCGACAAGCCGUCUCACCGUUGAGCCCGACGAGCUGUCUUGCCGUCCGCACCGCCGUGAGGCACCGCCGCCGUCCCCAAGCCACCGUCACCACCUCUUGCUGCCGCUUGCUCGGCUGUCUGGGCCGUUGUUGCUCCGAACCGUCACCACCUCCGCCCGAACCCGGAACCUAUUAGGUUAAGCCCCAAAUUAAUUUACCCUGUCUCAGUUCCCACUUUCACUUCGCACUUCCUCUCUGUCUCUGCCCGACGUUGCUCACUAUGCUCCGUGCUCGCCCUCGAUGAGUUCCUCGACGAAUCUCCACACGGAGUCGGGCCUCAAGUCCCUCGACGAGUUCCUCUCCGGCAAGACCUACAUCUUCGGUAAAAGCUCGUCUACAAGAAGCCGGCGAAGAAGACGACCGCAUCCCCAUCUUCGUCGGCUCGGAGGACCUCGCGUGGAACCAUGUAUCAUCCCACAAGAGGCAGCGUUCGCGGUGGCAAAGACCGAGGAGAUGCAGAGGACGAAUCUGGAGCUGGAGUCGUAUAAUUGAUGAAGAAUUCACAACGAUUCCCCUUGAUGGAAGACUACAAUGCCACAGAGAACUGAGGUCACUCAACCGGGCCAACAUACAGCAUUAAAUGGUGCUACUCACGGACACCAUUCAACAUGAGCAUGUCUUAUGAAGGGCAAAAAUAUACUGAGCUCAAUCCUGCAAACACCGACUGCCGAUGGUGAUAAUAGGAACUCCAAGCAGCUGCUCAAAAAGUUCCUUUAACAAGUUGCAGCACAUCCUCUUGCCACCAGACAACAAAAUCCAACAUGGCUUCUACCAAAGAAGAUACGUCUCAAGUCUGAACACAGAAUCAUGAGGCCAAUACCCCAAUACCCGCAGCAACAGCAAAUGCGGGGCCCAAAGUUUCUGCGUGUUAAAGAAUCCGGGUGGAAGACUAUCAACUCUUUCAUACUCGUCGAAUCUAUCUUAAUGUUCUUCACGCCCUUGCAGAAAUUCAACACAGGGGACUCUAAAACAGGGCUUCCCCUGACAAUUCCGCAUCGUUGAUUCACAAGAUAUAUGUUCACUUCGGGUAGAUGUGGAGAGACUGGCUUUUUCUGUUAUCUGGGAAAUGACACCUGAAGCAGAUAUAAUAUCCACAAGAUAUACAAAAAGCAUUAUUAAAUCAUGUGCAGCUCUGUCUUAUAUUGAAGCUCAGACAAGGAUGGAUGACAGGUAAUCAUGUAAAUGUUGAGAAGGCUAUUCCUCUGUUCAUAUGAGCUCUUUUCUGGUGUAUAACCUCUCACACAUUGUACUAAACUUGUUCUGAUUAAUCAACAUGCUAUUUCCACAUGA